rnacentral:rRNA from 1 species
ACGCUCGACACCUACGGGAGCAGCAGUAGGGAAUCUUCCACAAUGGACGCAAGUCUGAUGGAGCAACGCCGCGUGAGUGAAGAAGGUCUUCGGAUCGUAAAACUCUGUUGUUAGAGAAGAACACGAGUGAGAGUAACUGUUCAUUCGAUGACGGUAUCUAACCAGCAAGUCACGGCUAACUACGUGCUAGCAGCCGCGGUAAUCUGAGGCGGCUGGCAAGGC